GAUGAACGCUGGCGGCGUGCCUAACACAUGCAAGUCGAGCGAGAAGGUUAUGAUGGAUUCUUCGGAUGACAGAUUAACUGGAAAGCGGCGGACGGGUGAGUAACGCGUGGGUAACCUGCCCCAUACACAGGGAUAGCCAUUGGAAACGAUGAUUAAUACCUGAUAACACAUUUGAAUCGCAUGGUUUAAAUGUCAAAGAUUUAUCGGUAUGGGAUGGACCCGCGUCUGAUUAGCUAGUUGGUAAGGUAAUGGCUUACCAAGGCGACGAUCAGUAGCCGACCUGAGAGGUGAUCGGCCACACUGGAACUGAGACACGGUCCAGACUCUACGGAGCAGCAGUGGGAAAAUGCACAAUGGCGCAAGCCUGAUGCAGCAACG
rnacentral:rRNA from 1 species